UAUAAAGAAAAGAGAGAGCUUUUGCCAUGUAAGAGUUUCCUCUCAACAGAUGUAAAAAAUGUAUCAACGACACGCCUCAAAAAUAUGGUGUUAAUUGGUGGGUAGCCACUCACCAUCCACAUUUAUUACAGUCACAUGCACACAUGCUACAGCCAUUCCAAAGGCUCUGAAGAACACUAUUCAGGAUGUUAUAAUUAACCCCUGGAAAAAAAAAUAAUAAUGAUCUCACUAUAAAAUCACUGCCUGAGGAGGUUACUAAAUUUUAGGGUUCUGCUCCUGCUCUCUUAACUAUCAAGAGAGCAACUUGCAGGCCUGAAAUAAUUAGGAACAGAAAACUCAAUUAUCUAGUAAACUAAGAUCUUAAACUACCACGCUAAGCUGAACAGAAAGGCUGCACGGGGAGGAGGACCAUUAGUCCCACUCCGGAAAAGCAGAAUGGAAGAGGAGUACAAAGGGAGGCAGCUCACAAGCAAAGGUACGCUGCAGCCAACGGGGAGAGCUGGGAUUUGUAUUUUUCAGGUUGAAAAAUCCCUCGGCACAAAACAACUGCCAAAAAAAAGGAAAAAGGAAGAGGAAAGGGCUCUGCAGUAAGAAGGCUCUACACACAGUGUGCAUGGGACAUUAUCCGCUUAAGGGAGGCAGUAACCCACUUGCACCAGUCUGGUUAUCCAGAGUGUCAUCAGGAACACAAAGCGAUCUGAACAGCAAACAUGAGAGAAGAAACAGACCAGGAAAAAUGGAAAUUCAAGUUAUUAUUUCUACAUGAGAAAUUAUGCAGGAAAAGACAAAAGGAAGAAGAAAACAAAGACAGGCAGUGUAAGAAAAGAGAAUUUAGCUAUUAUUGAGCGUGAACAGCCGAGGCAGCUAUCCCGGCGCAGAACCGCACGCUGGCUCACGGGCUGGCAUUAAGUCUCAACUGCAGAAAAGCCUAUAAAAAGCACUCUCCCGUCACCCUGCCUUCUCUGCCCUCCAGCAUAAGACAUCUCACGGAGCUCGAGCCGAGCUGCUGGCAUGAAAUGCAUCCUCCCACCCCUCCGAGGAGCCAGCCGCAGCUGACAGACGUCAGGUCCUGCUGCUCCCUGCCACCGUGCAGGCGUGCCAAAGCGCGGUCCGGAGCUGCAAAAACCUGGACCGCUGGCUGCAGUACCAGAGGAGACCGAGUCCCUGCUCGCUGCCUAAUGCACGCCUCCAGCCAGCAUUUCUCCUGUAGCAUUAGUACCAGUCAUGAAACAGCACGACACUUCCCUUGCUUUUUUUUUUUUCUUAAAUUAGGAGUAUCAAGCUGACACAGCUGGGCUCCCCUAUGAGAGCGCUGUGCCGACGUCCCCCCCAGCCCAUACACCGCCGAUCCAGUAAAAUGAAGCCCUGUGACAUUUCUCCUGCAUGCGCUACAACUCUGCUAUGUUUCCUAGACUUACACCUUCAGCCACAGCUGCUCAUAAUGCAGUACGUGGAUACUAGAAGUCAUGCUUUUCUGUUUGUGUUAAAAGAUAAAACAAACCCACAUUUAAAAUAAGUUGUUUAAACACUCAGUUUCUCCAGGCUAAUAUGAUCUAUAGGCAAAGGCUCCCAGAAUCAAUUCGGCGGUGUUUUGUGACUGGGAACUCCAGAACUUUUUUUAAUUGACAGAUGUAUGAAAGAAAUAAAGCACUAAACUGAAGCCUGGAAAAUACUUCUUGAGUGAUGCUCCCCUAUUACUGAGAUUUAUGCAGCUGCUACUAGGAGAAGCGAGUGCUCUGAAGUGUAAUUACUACACAGAGUCAUGCAAGACGGGCCAGACCCAAGGUAUAAGCAAGCAGUCAUUGCUUUAAUUAUGAUCAAGUUUAUGUACUUAAGCAAAUGCAAAAUCCACUUUCAAUUUGAAAUGUGGGAACUUUAUCAUCGUAACAAGCUGGAGGCAUUCACUUGCAACACCCGCCCUGCGAGGGGACACGGAACUGGCUACCCACGGGGGCUGCGACGAGGCAAGGGGGCUCCUUUCACCUCCCCAAAGACCAGGGCAGCAGCUGGGGCUCCCGGGGAGCCUGAGCACCGCUGGAGAAGCAGGAGGCCCGGGCGAAGGCACAGCCCCUGCAACCCCGCGGCAAAGCCUGCAGCAACCCCGCGGGAGCAUCUCCGGCUGCCACCCCGGCGCCUCGCCCUGUGAAACCACGCUCAGGUUAUCUAGGGAUCAAAGCAGGCGUUCCACUGCUUCCACAGGAGCAGGGAAAAACACUUAUUUGAUUACAGGCAACCGAAAGUGUCAUUUUAACAGCAAUAAGAGGAGCCCUGUCCCCUCCCUGCAACCACCUCAUCUCGAGGUUAUUUCCAGCGCUGCCUCCCUCCCUGCUGACCAAGGCCCUGCGGGAUGCGGAGAGAGGAGACGCUGCUCCUGCUCCCAAGGGAGAAGUAAGGAAAGCGUCCAAACUGUGGGAAGGGGGCACGAGGAUAGAGGGACAAGGGUACCAAUAGGUACAUCUAAACCCUCCCUGCAGAGCCAGCAGCUGUAGGUAAGCCGAGGCAUCGCUAUGGAUGGCAGGACUGGGGACUGGCACCCACAGACACCCCGCACAGUGCCACCCCGCAGCUCCCUUCACCUCCUGCGCUGCAGCAGGGGCUCUCACACGUCGGGGCUGUGCGGCACCGACCGCAAGGAUGCUCUCCAGCCCGUGGCUAGGUGGUGAUCUCACCGCACGUCCCCUGCCUCUUGCCUCUUCCUUCGCACCCUCCGAUCCCCAGCUCCUCAGGCAGGCACCCUCCGCUGCGCAGCGAGCCGAGCCUGGCAGCAAUCCGGGCAGCUCCGCACCGCGACUAUCGCGACCCUCCCGCCCCGUCCGCGCACCCUGUGGAUGCUGACAGCCCCCGGCCACCAAAAACGCUGAGAAUCCAGUAAUUUCGCUCACAUCUCCGAGCAGGAGCGAGGCACGGUUGCCAGCAGCCCCGCAGGUUCUUUCAAUGAAAUACUGCCACGUGAGCGAUGCCUCGCAAGAGCUGUGCUGCUCUGGAUAGUUAACGUACUUUUUCUGCCUCUUCUCCAUUGACUCAGUGAUGGAUUUGCUAUGUUUAUGCAACAGCCUGGGUUUCCGGUACAGUACUGCUUUGGGUUAGGAAUCAAUUAGACUGAAAUGCAAAACACAAAGGCUGGUAUUUGAAGCACUCCUUUAUACGCGCUCUUGCAAUCUAUAUUAUGUUUAUGGGCCGAGUAACAGUUGUCUAAAAGGCAUUCAAGCAUAUCCUGUAUUCAUCUUCAAACCUGCUGUGUGUAUUUCAUUUAAGUACAGCAGGCUUUUACUGUUCCAGGUAAGUACACAGAUAUUGUCAAGCACGCCAUUAUAGCAAAGAAUUAUAUACAGUGCCAAAUAGGCAGCAUUUAGUAUCUCUGCUAAGACUAGGGAGUGCUUUGAGAUUUCAAGCCAAAUUAGAAAACAACAUUACUGCUCUUUACUGGAUCUGACUUCACAGUGGGGUCUGUCAUUACCUUGACAAUGACUCCCUGCAAAAAUAAAGUUUAUUUAUCAACAAGGAGGUAUAUCAGAAGGGAGUUAAAGCUUGUGGAAACGUACAACAAAACCUAGUGGCAGCUUUCUUUCAGCGUCUGUUUUAGGUUAUACCCAAAGUUCGCCGACAGAAGAAAAAGUCUCAAAUUGUAACUAAAGUUAUUCUCCAAUGGAGCAAGAGAUUUUCACUCAUUUUCUGCAGUUUUCUCUCUGGCACUACUGACUUUCCUUGGGGUAAUAAUCCCAAGAAUGCAGCUGGACGGGAGUGAAUCCCAUUCCAUUCAUUGACCCAAAAUAUUACCAUGCUCCAUGGUCCUGAGCCCAAAGGGCACCCCACGCCCCUGCAGAGGCAUUCCUCAGCAGCCGACUGCAGACGCUCUCCCCACCACAAGCACUGCAAUGGCCCAGAGAAAGUCCAGAGCUGUUCCCUGAGCGCUGCACAACCGUGGGACUUGUCCUUCCAGCGUGUGAGGGUUUGUCCUGGAGGAGAAAGCGAGCGACUUGCUCCAAGAUCAGAAGCAAAGUCACUGGGUGAGUUGGCUGCCAGCAGACGUAGUAAGAGCCAAGUCGUUGUCUCACAUCCAGGAUGAUAAUUUCCCUUGUUACAACUGCUCACACCAUAAAAAUUUCACUUAAUCAUCUACCUGCCUCAAGCCUGUAAGUAAUGAGAGGCAGGAUCAUGUGUAGCUGAUUUUAUCAAAUGCUCUUACGAAGCUCUCCACUGGGAAAACUCUGAAUCAAUUAAAACACCAAGGAGAGAUGUAGGAGAGGGAUCCGUACUCCCCAGCAGAUGCUCGCCAGGUUCUCAGCGCACUUCCCUCGCUCUUCCCCUGCCAAAGGGAUGAACAAGCUCCAGCCCCACGGCAACACAGCCGCCUGAGCCUUGCCUACAGCAGAGGAAACCACCGUGGGGCAGGGGAGAAAAGAAGGACCUGUAACAUCUGUUGGCACAUCUCCGUGUUUUCGGCACAUACUGGGCAGCCCACAUGGGCACGCUGUGGCUGGGUUUUCUCACCUCUGCUGUGAUGGAUCCCCUUGUGCUUACUCUGGCCCAGCUGCCUCGCUUGAGAUCUUGAAUGCCCUGCAGAAACCAAGAGCUGCAGGUGCUGGCAGCUUCUCUCUGGUAAAAUAACCCUUUCCAUCUUAUUCUGCACCCUGCAGAAGCUGCAUUUUCAGGGGUCCAUAACCAUUUGUGGAGGAGGAGAAGGGAGAAGCUCUUUGUGAUAUAGCAGUACUCACGCGUUGUUUGAUGGAAAAAAGAAAAGUGCAUUUGCCACGGGGCACUGGGAGGAAUGAUGGAUUGCCAGGCAGCAAACAUCCCUUCCCUCUUUGGCAGGAUAUUGUAUUCCUUGUACCAUACAGGUAUGCUGAUAGAUCCAUAAAGCAUUAGCCUUUCCCUCACCCCAAAAAGCAGCGGCUGAUAAAUCACAAGCUCGGUGCGUUUGUUGGGAGCAGAUCACACAGCAGAAGCAGCGAAGCCUUCAGAGAGAUGCAUCACUUGAAGACGCUGCCGAUGCCAAUAGAGCUGUACAUCAGGAGUGCCCAGACAAAUCACUUCACCUGUCCAGAAAAAUGAGAAUCUUCGGAGCUGGCACUUCUUUCCAGUAUGUGCCAGUUUCAGUCACACACGCCUCAGAAAUGCCUGCCAGAGCCAUGGAAAAUCUCUGCCUUCGGUCCUGGGAGUCUCCCUUAUUUACAAAGAGUUUGAAAAGUCUGCUCUCCUACUGCAGGACAGAAAACUUUCUGAAACUGCAGAAGAUUUUAUGGGAAAAGAUCCCAGCCAGAGCCAGACCUUUUCACACCAGCUCUUUACCAUGGAUAAGGCACAGGCUUUGCAGGGGGCAGCUAGGUUCACAGCUAACCUUCCAGUUAUCUAAGGAUUUUGCAUCCUUUGUAAAAUUAAAAAUGCACAGGCACGGCAAAUGUGGCUUAAAAGCCAUCUCUUCUCCAGCUCUCCCAGGGCUGAGCACAGGGCACAAGAAAUCACUUUAGACACAGCCCCGCAGAGGGAAUGAAAGCAGACGAGAUGGGAGAAAACUAUUUCACCAUGCACUGCUGCCUCUGCUGGGAACACAGGGCAGACACCUCUCAAGCUGAUAUUUUCAUUUAUCAUCUCCCAGUGAUUAGUCAGCUGAAGAGAUGCCGCCAGGAGACGGCACAGAGGGGAUCAGCCCAGAGCGCUCACCUAUGAAAAUAAAGCAGUGCCGACAGUUCCCAGCCCAGGGCUGUCACGCCACGGGCAGCCUGCUCGCCGGGGGAGCUGGGCUGCAAAAUUAGAGGGCAUCGCUCUGCACCGGCCCUGCUGGCAGCUUUGGGACAGGCGUGGGAGGCACUCUGGAUUUAAUUCCAGCAAAAAGCUGCACUCCUGAUUCCCCGCUCCAGCACAGGCUUAAUAGCACAGAGCAAGCUCUGCAAGCAGCUGAAGCAACAGACGAUGCGACGCACAGUCCUGUUGCACCACUGCACAACGUUGUACAACAAGUCCCACUGCACAACAUGGAGAGCACACGCUUCGAGCUGGGAUUUACGGCGGAACCGACAGAAGUUAUAUUGGAUAUAUAAAUUGCUCCCACUCUGAAGGAGGCCACAAUGUAUUCAGGUGCCUUUCCAGGAACGCUUUUUUCCUAUGCAGAGGCACCGCAGUAAAACCUGAUUUAUGCCUUAUUAAAUUAUUUUAAUGCUC